UCUUCUACGUCUUGUCUGCUGUAUCUAUUAAUAGCUCCUCAUAUAAUCAUCAACAGUGACCUCUCUCCCCUCUAUCAGAACAUAGAUUGAUAGCAAGUGUAUAUAUCUGCCACUGCCAGCCAUCGCGUAUCAAAUAGAAUAGGAUCUCCGUCGAAUAAGGAAGGCGAUAUCUUCAACCAUAUACUCACACACUCACAUGCAAGUUCCAAAAAGAAGGAAACUUGUUUGUCCACUCGACCCACAAUCAAUCAGUGAGUAAGGGAGGGAGCGAGCGAGCGAGUAAUUUUAGGAACGGGCUCCUCCAUACCUUGCCGCCUCCAGCUACUAAUUACUGCUGCCGCUUUGUAUCGCACGGAGAGCAUCCGCUCCGCUGAACCUGGGGACUUCUUAUCCAUCCUCGCCGCCUGGUUUUGACGAGGCGCACCGUAUCGUGGGCUAACACGCAGGCAUUUGCCACCGGAGAAUGCUAUGGCUAGUCCUAGUUCGUACAGGGCAGGGCAAGGCAAGGCGACUUAAGCGGUGAGGAUAAGAAGCCAGUCAGUCCCCAGCACGAUGAUAUCCCGCACAAUCUGCGAAUAAAGCGUGGGACGGAAGAAAAAUCGACCAAGCAUCAUCGUGCUCGUUGCGGCCCCCGCCCCGGCAAUUCCCUGCCUGGCCUGGCCGGUCACCCCUCGAAUUCCUCGAUUGCGGCUGUUACCAAGGAUCAUUAUUUAGGACCUUCUUUUAUUUUUCUAUACCCGACCCGACGAAGACCGGUCUAUUCGGGUCGGAUUCGUGAGUCGUACUUAAUACUCCGUCUUGUCUAUUGAGUCCCUUACAUUUUCAAACUUUUUCGAACCGUUCACCAAAAAUCUCUAUAGGCAACAUUGAGAAGCCGAUACGGCGAAUGGUUGACGGAAUCAUCUGCGCUGUGGGAAACGAAUCCGGCAGAAGAGUAGGAAGAGGACGAAUUCGUACUGACGGUUUGUCUCUGCUCUAUUUUUUUCGAAAUCCGUUGUUUUUGUAGUCCUGUCCUUGUGUGUGGUUGUGCUCUGGUUUCGGUAUUCGAUUUUCCGUUGGGGCGCGACUCCGCUUCGAUGAUUUGGCCGUUGGUUUUGGAGAAUGGUGAUGCGCGGGUAUAAAUUGCGUAUCCUCUGAUGGAAUUUUAGGGUUUAAGUUGUAAUAUCUUUGAAUUCAUGUGUUUAUGUGUUGUGUGUGCGUCGGAUGCGAUGAAGUUUCGACGAAUAUUGAAAAAAUAUGCGUCUUUCUAAAUUAGUGAUAUGCGUAGUUCAUUUUCAAUUGAGAUUGUUGUAUUAUUGAUAUCUGUGCUUCAUGAAUAGUCGCAUCAUUACGCAUUCCGAGCAGUGAAAUAGCAUGAUGGAAAUGUUAAUGUGAUUUGGGAUACAUAUGUUUUUCUCCUCUCCAUAAUAUAUGUAUAUUUGAUAUAAGCCAUAUAUUUGUACAAGCUUCGCCCCUUGUAAUCUAUAUAGUAUUGUUGGCGUUUGUUCUAUAUUGUAAUUUAUAAACUUUUCUGAUAAUUCAAUUUGGGUAAACACUAGGUUUGCCAUCAGUGACUGUUUUCUUCAUCAAAGUAUAUGCCUAAAGGAAGUGGCCUCUGAUUAUUGCGAAUCCUAUUAGUCACACAAGUCCUGUUGAGUCUAGCGCUUUGGAUUUAGUAGAGGUUUGGGUGGUAGCUGGAACUUCUGAGGCAAUGAAGUUAUGGGAUUUGGAAGAAACCAAAGAAUUUUUUAUCUACUCCACUGUAGUUUGCAUUGCAUCAGGUUCUUAAUUGCACAUUUGAGUUUUGAAUGUUUGCCCUAAGUUUUUUCCAAUUCAACUAUAGGGCUCUGGUUACUAAAUCAAAAUGUGAAUGUUCCAUAUAAUUUAGCGAAUAUAAAUUGCUGCAACAUUUCAUUGUCAUUAAUUUAGUAUUAAUAUGUUUCUCAAGUUAGUUAAUUUUCAUGAGAAGCAAAGUUUCUUUCUCAUCUUUUCUUGCUGCUAUGUGCUGUACUUUACCAGAGAUCAAUGAACAUCUUGGCUGUUGAAUUUUUUACACCCUUUAAAAUUUUAUAUUCAAAGCUACGCUUUGUUUGAAGAUGUCUUUCCUUAGGACGCAAGAAGAGGCGUGCCUUUUUGUGCAUUGGAGUUUGCUAUUUGAAUGUGUAUCUUGGCUUUUUAUCUCUUGGUUGAUUGACACAUUUGUUUGCUUUUAAAGCCACUUGAGCAAUGUAGUUAUGUCAGACUUGAUUAGUGAAUACAUUUUCUAUGUUCAAAUUUUAAAUUCUCUAUUUCUGCCGGUGCGACAUCUCUUUUAACUGGGCUGGCUGGGAAAGUUUCUGUAGAUUUUGUUGAUGCAACAUCUACUGGGCAUUCUGUGCAUCAUAAGCAGGUAGGUCUUUUCCUCAUACUUACACUCAACCUUGGACAUAUUUCCUGCAGGCUACUGCCAGGGUUCCUGAUACUCAGAUAAUAACUGAGUAUCCUGUAGUUAGGUAUUCCAUUGGUUCAAAUAUUUAACUCCAUGAAUACACGACUGCUAACCAAUCAUUUGCUAUAUCAGGAUUCUAUAGCAAAUGGCAUCGCAUCUUAAUAUAAUGCUAUCUUACUAGGUUUCUACUGAAAGAUAUAAAUAUAUAUAUUUCAGCUUUAACCAAUCUCCAGGUUGGAGCAAUUUUAUGUGGUCUACAAUCUCCUGGAGGACAUGAAGUUAUUUGGGGUGGUUGUAUUGAAGCUCUAAAAACUCACUGCACCAACAUUUAUUUGCUUUGAUUUUUGGGUGGUUCUGAUAGUUCACUUGCUCAGGAAACUUUUAAGAGAUGUUGAUGGGAUUCUUGCCACAUACACAGAUCAAGUUAUGAAGGUGGGUUAUGAUUUCCUAGGAUGGACAAAUGAUCAAAUUAGAACUGAACAAUUUUCUUGGCUGCAUGCUGGAGCCUGCAAUGCUUUGAACACAAAACUAUAUGGUAGUGCCACACUCUCAAAAAACCGAGGCAGCAUUGAAAGACAAUCAAAGCUCUGGAAAGAAAAGAACAUAAUAUUGUGAUGCACUGCUCAGUUGUGUUCACCAUCCGCGAUGUGCAUGGAGCUGCAGCCAGGUUCAACGCACACUAUGUUGGUGGAGAGAAGUGUGGUUUGGAGGUGCCUGCCCCGCAGCUACAUGGUGAAUAUUAUUCCAUCACUUUCUCUUUCUGCGGCCCUUUAUGGAGGGGGAUGGAUUAUAUGGCUUGUCUGUGUGCUUUCUGUCCGGUUACCAACUUAUUUGCUGAUCAGCAAGUUAUCAUCUACUGUAAAUUUUAGUAAUAUUUAAAUUAGCAGACUCACAGAUUUAUUAAACUCAGUUAUAAUGCAAUAAAAUUUUAAAAUACUAAGGCGAA